GUGAUGAGCCAACCCCGGCACCGAGGCGUGAGGUAGUACUCGAAUGCUGA
rnacentral:snoRNA from 1 species